CAAAAUAGACAUCACACACAAUAUAAGGGGAGAGAGAUUCCAUCUCCGGGGGGGGGGGGGUCUUUCUUCCAUUUUCAAAGAACACACGCACAUAGAGCCAUAAAAUUCUUCAUAUUUUUCCUUCUUUCAUAUACACCCACACCACACACACAGAACAUGCACGCAACAAUAUACUCUUACCCACAUAGAGAUCCAAAUCAAGAGAGUGGUAGGAUAGAGGAAAGAGACGCGAGGGAGAUAGCGGAAAAGGGGGAAGUGAUUGGAAAAAAGGAACUGAGCGAGAGAGAGGGGAAAAAAGAUGUAGGCUGACUAUUUCCGGUGAUCUUUCGCUGAAAACUAGCCAAAAUCCGACACUGGAGAAUACCAUUGAUCUCUAAAAUCACCUAAAAAUUGACCAAAAUUCAGUUCAGGUGAGGUUUUCUUCAUUUUUUUGGUGAAUUCCGUUAAAGUUUUGUUAGAAAACGACAAACCAGCUGACUGUUCCUAACCAACUACCACCGUAAAUAGUCAAAACUACCAUAAACAGCUCGGCUCCAAUGAAAUUGAACAGAAAAUGAGCUACACAGUGACGUUUAUGCAUGAAAUCGGGUUCAGGUGUGGUCUAUCUUUCGCGAUAUCUAUUCAACUCAACUUGGUUUUUGAUUUCGUGAUUUCCCUAUUGGGUUCUGAUUUGAACGGAGCUUAGGUCAAAGUUUGUUGAUUUGGGGAUCGUAUAUGAGGUUCGAGUCGAGGUUUUUCUGUUGUGGGUCUAUCUUCAAUAUAUCGAAACCGACAAUUGAGGUCCAAUUCUAUUCCUUUUCUUUAAUUUCAUUGUUUUCUUAUAUUUGGUGUGUUGGAUUGAAUGUGUGUCUUGUUUGAUCUUUGUUGGUGAUGAAUGCGUAUUUAUUUUGAUUCUUUGUUAACGGUUUAAUUCGGAAUAAAUAUCAAUGUCGUUAAACACAAUAGUAUCAUGAUAGGGUGAAUUGGUAGGCAAAUGGUCGGCCGGGUAGGCAAAUUGAGGAAUAACGAUUUGUUGAGAAUGCCCCGAAGAAUUUGUAUUGAUUUAUCCGGGGAAUGCCUCGAAGUAUUCUGUACUCGAAGGACGUCCGUGAUGAAGGUCCGAGGCAUCGGGUAAGGCAUUGGAGCAUAGUUUAGGUUAGCGUAGGUUACAUUUCAGUAUCUUUUAUUUUGGUUUUGUAAUAAAUUAGACUGGACACUGUAUUUUUGGAUCUUGUUUUGUUUUCUUUUGUUGGUUGUUUGAUUGUUCAGCG
rnacentral:lncRNA from 1 species